UACGUAGGGUGCAAGCGUUAAUCGGAAUUACUGGGCGUAAAGCGUGCGCAGGCGGUGAUGUAAGACAGAUGUGAAAUCCCCGGGCUCAACCUGGGAACUGCAUUUGCGACUGCAUCGCUGGAGUGCGGCAGAGGGGGAUGGAAUUCCGCGUGUAGCAGUGAAAUGCGUAGAGAUGCGGAGGAACACCGAUGGCGAAGGCAGCCCCCUGGGAUAACACUGACGCUCAUGCACGAAAGCGUGGGGAGCAAACAGGAUUAGAAACCCUUGUAGU
rnacentral:rRNA from 1 species